rnacentral:rRNA from 1 species
CUCGUGUCGUGAGAUGUUGGGUUAAGUCCCGCAACGAGCGCAACCUCGCCUUUAGUUGCCAGCAUUUCGAGUUGGGCACUCUAGAGGGACUGACCGGUGUCAAACCGGGAGGAAGGUGGGGAUGACGUCAAGUCCUCAUGGCCUUUAUGCCCAGGGCUACACACGUGCUACAAUGGAUCGUACAAAGGGUCGCGAACCCGCGAGGGGGAGCCAAUCCCAAAAACCGGUCCUCAGUUCGGAUUGGAGUCUGCAACUCGACUCCAUGAAGUUGGAAUCGCUAGUAAUCGUGGAUCAGCAUGCCACGGUGAAUACGUUCCCGGGCCUU